rnacentral:rRNA from 1 species
UACGUAGGCGGCGAGCGUUAUCCGGAAUUACAGGGCGUAAAGCGUACGCAGGCGGCUUCUUAAGUCUGACGUGAAAGCUCCCGGCUUAACUGGGAGAGGUCGUUGGAGACUUGGGGGCUUGAGGCGAUGAGAGGGGUGUAGAAUUCCCGGUGUAGUGGUGGAAAGCGUAGAUAUCGGGAGGAAUACCAGUGGCGAAAUCGACACCCUGGCAUAGGCCUGACGCUCAUGUACGAAAGCGUGGGGAGCAAACGGG